UUAUCGAUUGUAUCACUUCUACCAAAUCAAGUUUAGCAACAACACAUCACUGGUGAAUGUGACGGAAAUGAACAAAGUGGUCUAAAUUAAGACAAAAUAAAGUGUAGUGACCCAAUACAAAAUUUUAAAAUACAAUGGCCCAAUUGAACUGUAAAUGAAAAUAACUCUUUUCCUUGUUCCCCCCCUUAUAUUUGUGCAGAUAACUUCCUCUGGUUCUCCAGCCUUAUUGGCCACUGACUUGGAAAUUAUGCUGUAAGUUACGUUGCUUACGUGAAAAUUUGCUUUCCAGAUUUCGAACACCAAUGACUUCACUGUUUCAACCCAUAGCUUACAAUCCACCAGAACUGCCAUCACCCCAAGUCCAUGAAUUUAAGCACAAGGGCAAACUCUGCAUUCAAAACCCAAUACAACCACAAUCCAUUUCUCAAUCAAUCCCCAUUAACCAAUUGUCUUUCCCUUUUCUGAAUGGCCCUGUUAAUUCAACCGCCUAUGCUUCAGCACUCGAGGUCUGCAGCUGCCCAAGACUCGGGAAACAAUUCCACGCACA
rnacentral:lncRNA from 1 species